CAGCAGCCGCGGGAAUACGAAGGGGGCUAGCGUUGUUCGGAAUCACUGGGCGUAAAGCGCACGUAGGCGGACACUUAAGUCAGAGGUGAAAUCCCAAGGCUCAACCUUGGAACUGCCUUUGAUACUGGGUAUCUUGAGUAUGGAAGAGGUUAGUGGAAUUGCGAGUGUAGAGGUGAAAUUCGUAGAUAUUCGCAGGAACACCAGUGGCGAAGGCGGCUAACUGGUCCAUAACUGACGCUGAGGUGCGAAAGCGUGGGGAGCAAACAGGAUUAGAUACCCGCGUAGUCCCUGUCUCUUAUAC
rnacentral:rRNA from 1 species